GCGAGGCUGGACAAAGUCUCAUAAGUCCAUCCUGGCUUAAUUGGUUGUUUGAACGCCAAGCCAGGCUGAGGAGGAGCGGCUAUGUCAAGCCAGGUGUAACUUAUUCAGAUAAGUGCACGGCUUUCUUAAAUAUACCACAUUGGUUGAUCACAGUUUCACUGAUGCACCAAUGGAGAGGACACGUGCGGCUUACUUCUCGCCCAGUGAGCAGCGUGUCAUUAUGGAGAUUUAUGAGGAGGUUAAACAUAUAACUAAAAAAGGAAACACAGCAGCAAUUAUUAAGCACAGAGAAAAUGCUUGGCAGACUGAAUGCGUAAGUAAUCUAAAAAUAUACACUUGCUGCGCAAAUGAAUCUGUCAUAAUUACAAUUAAAGUUCCUUUUACAAAUUAACAGUUGCACACUUUGCCUUAAAGGUGAACAGUGGAAGUUAACAUUACUUGGAAAUGUACCAUGAUGAUUCUUGAUUCAUUGCGCAAAUCUCUUACAGGCUAGGCCUAUAUAUAUAUAAUCUAUCUCAUUUAAUGCUCAUACAGCACAAAUAAAACUGGACAAACCUGGCAACAGGUGAAGAUUAAGUAUAGGAAUAUUUUGCAGUCUGGUAAGUGCCUCAAUAAAUUGCUGAUAACAAUGUACAAAUGAGAUGUAUAAAUUAUUUGGGAGGUGCCUGCUCACAUAUCUGUACUGAUUUCAGCAGUGAAGAAAAACGUGUCUGACAACAGCAGAUUUCACACCAGCAGAAGAGCUUGCACUUGAUCAAAACCAAAGCAGGCCAAUGAUGGAAGGGAUACGGGGGGGACAGUUACAGACUCUGUCCAACACACAGAAACUGCCCUCUUCAUACAAGUGUCAGGUGACACACUGACUCUUCUUGAGCCACCAGAAGAUAAUCUGGGUGAAGGCACAUCUGCAGCCGUGAUGGAUGCAGCAGAUGAGGAGGAGACUCUGUCUCUGGACUCCAGAAGGUUUGAGGAAUCUAGGAGUCUCUAAGGGAGAUGUUGGCGUAAAUACCAGUCCAGCUGGAAGUUGAUGUACAAGCGCAUGGCAUGGGCACACAUUCUACAUCUCAGAGAGGAAGGCGGAGGGUACAACAUACCAGCUGCUCAGCUGAUUCACAUGCGGGACUUAGGAUUUAGCUGGAUCGCCUUAUCUCGGAUGCUGUCUGUAAACAUCCGAACACUGUACAACUACAGGACACAACUCGGUCUGGUGGACUAUGGGAGUUUCACUGACAUUGCAAAUGACGAUCUGGAUCGUCUUAUUGCUGAUAUUCUCAGACAAACCCCCAGUUCUGGAGAGACCUAUGUCACUGGUAGUUUGAGAGGGAGAGGAAUCAGAGUUCAGCGUUGGCGGGUACGAGAGUGUUUAAGGACAGUAGAUCGAGUGGGGCGAGCCUUGAGAGGACAAAGGGCAAUUCAACAAUGUCUCUGCCCCAAAUGAAGUGUGGUAUGUGUUUUAUAAAUUUGAUUAACACUAGUUAUUUUUCCCUAGCUGGCCAAUAAUGGGAUUCAUAAAGACUGAUACAAGGAUUUAGGAGGGCCAAGCAAAGGGUCGUAGGCGGGAGUCGAACCUGCGGCUGCUGCAGAGGACUUGUAGCCUCAGUACAUGGGGGCGCCUGCUCUACCCGGGAGGCAUAUUGACACAAACCACAAAUUAAAUCCAUGGGGAUUUGUCUAUCGUGGAGCAGUUGAUGGCUACAGUCGCUGCAUUACCUUUCUGAAAUGUUGCACAGACAACCGAGCAUCGACUGCCUUGCAUCUUUUCCAGGGUGCUGUGGAUGUAUUUGGACUGCCACACCAUGUCAGGGGUGAUGCUGGUAGCGAGAACAUUGAUGUUGCACGGUUCAUGAUUGCAAAUCGAGGAACAAACAGAGGAAGUUUCAUGGUUGGAUGUAGUGUGCAUAAUCAAAGGAUCGAAAGACUGUGGGCAGAAGUAAACAGGGUCGUGUCAGGAUACUAUAAAGACCUUUUCCUCUUUAUGGAAAAUGUCGGACUUUUAGACAGCACUGACCCUCUUCACAUUACAGCUCUUCACUAUGUUUAUCAUCCUAGAAUAAACAGAUCCGUGGAUGAGUUUGUGAGCCAGUGGAACAACCACAGCUUGAGGACAAUGGCGAGUCGGUCCCCACUGCAACUGUGGACAAUGGGAAUGCUCCAACUUCCUCAGGAUCAAAGCCCACUCAAUCGUGUGCCUGUGCAACCCCCUUAUGAUCACCAGUGGAAUGUGGAGUUAAGGCCCAUCAACCCCUUCACUGAUGAUGGACAUCAUGGAAUUCAACUUUUUGUCAGAGCAUGUGACCUGCUUGAGAGAUAGUCUACUAGCUUUAGUAAUUCAGUUGUUCCACUACUGUGGUGUAAUACAUUGUCACAUAUAAACCCAGAUAUAAAUAAGUAAUUUGAGUUUAAGG